rnacentral:rRNA from 1 species
GGGAUUGCCCUAGUAACGGCGAGUGAAGCGGCAACAGCUCAAAUUUGAAAUCUGGCGCAAGCCCGAGUUGUAAUUUGUAGAGGAUGCUUCUGGGUAGCGACCGAUCUAAGUUCCUUGGAACAGGACGUCAUAGAGGGUGAGAAUCCCGUAUGUGACCGGCCCGCACCCUUUACGUAGCUCCUUCGACGAGUCGAGUUGUUUGGGAAUGCAGCUCUAAAUGGGAGGUAAAUUUCUUCUAAAGCUAAAUACCGGCCAGAGACCGAUAGCGCACAAGUAGAGUGAUCGAAAGAUGAAAAGUACUUUGGAAAGAGAGUUAAAAAGCACGUGAAAUUGUUGAAAGGGAAGCGCCUGCAACCAGACUUCGCGGCAGUGUUCCGCCGGUCUUCUGACCGGUUCAUUCUCUGUCGCGAGGCCAUCAUCGUCUGGGCCCGCCGGAUAAGACCUUAGGAAUGUAGCUCACCUUCGGGGGAGUGUUAUAGCCUAGGGUGAUGCGGCGAGGCUCGGGCGAGGUCCGCGCUUCGGCAAGGAUGAUGGCGUAAUGGUUGUCGGCGGCCCGUCUUGAAACACGGACCAAGGAGUCUAACAUCUAUGCGAGUGUUCGGGUGUCAAACCCCUACGCGUAAUGAAAGUGAACGGAGGUGGGAACCGCAAGGUGCACCAUCGACCGAUCCUGAUGUCCUCGGAUGGAUUUGAGUAAGAGCAUAGCUGUUGGGACCCGAAAGAUGGUGAACUAUGCCUGAAUAGGGUGAAGCCAGAGGAAACUCUGGUGGAGGCUCGCAGCGGCUUCUGACGUGCAAAUCGAUCGUCAAAUUUGGGUAUAGGGGCG